rnacentral:rRNA from 1 species
GAUGAACGCUGGCGGCGUGCCUAAUACAUGCAAGUCGAGCGGUAAGGCCACUUCGGUGGUACACGAGCGGCGGACGGCUGAGUAACACGUAGGAACGUACCCCAAAGUGAGGGAUAAGCGCCGGAAACGGCGUCUAAUACCGCAUGUGGUCUUCGGACUAAAGCUCCGGCGCUUUGGGAACGGCCUGCGCAUGAUUAGCUUGUUGGUAAGGUAAUGGCUUACCAAGGCGACGAUCAUUAGCUGGUCUGAGAGGAUGAUCAGCCAGACUGGGACUGAGACACGGCCCAGACUCCUACGGGAGGCAGCAGUAGGGAAUCUUCCACAAUGGGCGAAAGCCUGAUGGAGCAACGCCGCGUGCAGGAUGAAUGCCUUCGGGUUGUAAACUGCUUUUAUCUGUGACGAUUAUGACGGUAGCAGAUGGAUAAGGAUCGGCUAACUCCGUGCCAGCAGCCGCAGUAA